rnacentral:rRNA from 1 species
GGACCCGCACAAGUAGUGGAGCAUGUGGUUUAAUUCGAAGAUACGCGCAGAACCUUACCAACACUUGACAUGUUCGUCGCGACUUUAAGAGAUUAAAGUUUUCGGUUCGGCCGGACGAAACACAGGUGCUGCAUGGCUGUCGUCAGCUCGUGUCGUGAGAUGUUGGGUUAAGUCCCGCAACGAGCGCAACCCUCACUUUUAGUUGCCAUCAUUAAGUUGGGCACUCUGAAAGAACUGCCAGUGAUAAGCUGGAGGAAGGUGGGGAUGACGUCAAGUCCUCAUGGCCCUUACGUGUUGGGCUACACACGUGCUACAAUGGUAUCUACAACAGGAAGCAAAACGGCGACGUUAAGCAAAUCCUUAAAGCUUGUCUCAGUUCGGAUCGCAGUCUGCAACUCGACUGCGUGAAGCUGGAAUCGCUAGUAAUCG